rnacentral:rRNA from 1 species
GACAGAGGGUGCAAACGUUGUUCGGAAUUACUGGGCGUAAAGCGCGUGUAGGCUGCUUGGAAAGUCGGAUGUGAAAGCCCUGGGCUUAACCCAGGAAGUGCACUCGAAACUUCCAAGCUCGAGUCCUGGAGAGGGUGGCGGAAUUCUCGGUGUAGAGGUGAAAUUCGUAGAUAUCGAGAGGAACACCGGUGGCGAAGGGCGGCGUACCUGGACGAGCUGACUGACGCUGAGACGCGAAAGCGUGGGGAGCAAAACAGG